rnacentral:rRNA from 1 species
UUGAACGCUGGCGGCAUGCCUUACACCUGCCAGUCGAACGGUAACGGGCCUUCGGGUGCCGCCGAGUGGCGAACGGGUGAGUAAUACAUCGGAACGUGCCCGAUCGUGGGGGAUAACGAGGCGAAAGCUUUGCUAAUACCGCAUACGGUCUACGGAUGAAAGCAGGGGACCGCAAGGCCUUGCGCGGACGGAGCGGCCGAUGGCAGAUUAGGUAGUUGGUGGGAUAAAAGCUUACCAAGCCGACGAUCUGUAGCUGGUCUGAGAGGAUGAUCAGCCACACUGGGACUGAGACACGGCCCAGACUCCUACGGGAGGCAGCAGUGGGGAAUUUUGGACAAUGGGCGCAAGCCUGAUCCAGCCAUGCCGCGUGCAGGAUGAAGGCCUUCGGGUUGUAAACUGCUUUUGUACGGAACGAAAAGCCUUCUUUUAAUACAGGAGGGUCAUGACGGUACCGUAAGAAUAAGCACCGGCUAACUACGUG